UUCCUUUCUACUUUCUUUCUGCAAUGCUAGAAGAAAUGCCUGGCAAUUGAUUGCAACUGAUGCGCAAUAAUACGUGAAUCAAUGGUAAAAUAAUUAACAUAGAACAUUAGUGUUCUAGUUCAACUUAAUGGUGGUGUGGCUUGGACAAGUCAUUUCAAGACAAUCCUUAGUGUGUGUGUGUGUGUGUGAGUGUGUGUGUAUGUGUGUGUGUGGUAAACGAGAUAGUCUCCACAGUGUACCAGACACAUGGCAGGCCCUUAAUGCUUCAUUUCAUUAUCACUGUUAUUUUACUCAUGAUGCAAUGGAAUAAUGGAAAGAGUUAAUUUAAUCUUCAGUAGAAAUAUCCAAACAUAACUGCCGUUUCUCAAUUUACUCUGAACUGCAGCCUCAAUGCUCACUCCACAUGGUGCCAUAUCUUCUAAGUUAGCCUGUUGUUUGUGUGAAGGUGGGGUGGGAUCAAAACAUCAAUGUUUUCCCAGGCAUGGUGGCACAUGCCUAUGAUCCCAGCACUCGGGAGGCUGAGGUAGGAGGAUUGACAAGAGUUUGAGGCCAGCCUGGGCUACAUAGUGAGUUCAGGACCAGUCUGAAUUACAAAGGAAGACCCUGCCUCAAAAAACCAAGAAAAAAAAAAUCAAUGUUUUGACAGUCACCGAUUUUCCCAUGUAUUAGAUUUUCUGCUCAGGAUUCAGCAGCUGGUGUUGUGGUUUUAAUUUUGUAAUUAUUCAUGAUUUCAUAACAAUCACUGACUCUGUGCCAACUCAGAAAAACUCAAUUCAGCAUUAUAUUGUAAAAGUAGUUAUCUUAAAACUGGUCAAAAUUUGAGAUUGAACAGCAAUAAGAAGAAAUAUGCUUUCCUAUUUUUACUACCUUAUUGUCAAUGGGUAUGGUAAAAAAAUGUAAUAAAUUUAAAAAUUUUUCGCUGUUUAUCUGAGAACCAGCAGAUUGUAGAAAUCUCUUCAUCUUUUAUUCUGGUUACCCUUGUCUACACCUGCCGUGUGCAGGAGACUGGCGUAUUUCAAUAUUUUCCAUCUGAAUUGUGAAUGAGUUGAUCAGAUGUCUCCGCCCUCCUUUCCUAAUCAAAUAUAUUGAUUUCCUACCAAGUUCUAGAAACUAUACUCAAGUGUGAACUUUCAAAUACAAAAGGAUAUAACCCAGGAGGUCAGGAGACCACACAGUAGUAAGAGGACAUGCAUGGAUGUGUUCGUUGACCAAUGAAAAUUCACAGAACAGUGUCCUCUCUGGAAGCACAGCUGCUGCUGUGAGCUCAAGGAGCAGUGGAGAGCCCAGGUUAGCUGGAUCAAGAGAGAGCAAGGCUCAAAACACUGGCUCAAAAGCUGCCAGAGAGGUACUGAGAAGCCAGCAUUAAGGGCCUUGUGAUCAAUGCCUGAGGACUUGGGCAUCAACUCUGAGCACCAGGAAGCUAAUGGUGGAUCAUGAGCAGAGUCCUGGUCCAACUCCUAUUUGGAGGGGACUGCACUGUUAAGCAGAUUUCCAACCACAUCAAAAUACAACAACUGCUAGGUUACUUUUGUAGUGGACUAAUGAGCAACAUGUAACGCCCAGCUGAACUAAAUCAGAGUGGUCUGGGCAUGGAGGAUCCACCUGAGGAUUGUUGUCAGUAGCCAUAAAAAGAAAACUGGAGGGGAAGAUCGUGGCCUGUUGAUUUUUCUAGGAGAAGCUUGCUGUGGAUGGUUUUCCUGAUGCGAACUAGGCUGUUCUCGUCAGAGGAGGAACUCAGGUUCUCGCUGUCGCUGGGAAUGGCUGCUGUUUUCAUCAGAGCAGCUCUGAUCUUCACCGUGAGCAUCACUUCCUGGCCCCAGUGUGGAUCCCUCAGCCUGGUGGCACAAAUCCUUCAUCUCACCAGCAUAGGUUUUCUGGCUCCCACCACUGGCCUUUGGGCCUUCCGGGUGCAGAUUCUCAAUAUGGACAAGCAUGAGACAUUGCCAUGGGCUCUAGGCCACUAGCUGGACUCAUGGAGGACAUUGCCUUGGACUCUAAGCCUUUAGCUGGACUUAUGUGGGAAAUUGCUGGAUCCAGGCCGUUGGCUUGAUUCUUUUGGCCUCUAGUGUGUGGUUAAUGUCUUGCAUUCCUUUGCAUUUCACUUUUUGGGUAAUUACCAUCAA
ensembl:lncRNA